GCUGAUUUUUUGUAUUUUUUUUGUAGAGUCUGGUUUUGCCAUGUUGCCCAAGCUUCUCCAGAACUCAUAAACUCAAGCGAUCCACCUGCCUCUGCCUCCCAAAGUACUGGGAGUGCUGGGAUUACAGGCAUGAGCCACCGUGCCAGGAAAAUGGAUCUUUCUAUUAGUUUACAGACUGCACUUUUUGUAGCAAGCUGUUAAACAGCACUGUUUCUGAGACAAACAGUGCCCAGCUGUCAUAAACUUCUAAACAUGAGUGUGGAUGAAAAUAUUGACAGACCUCAUGGUGGG
rnacentral:lncRNA from 1 species